GCUCCAGUGGCCUAAUGGUUAGAGCAUUCGCCUCAGAUGUGGCAGGUCAUUGGUUCAAUCCCCGGUUGAGUCA